UUAUGUCACUAUAAAGCUCAUAUUAUACAUGUUAAAAGCAGUAAAAAAAAGUAAUGCAUUUUAACACUGUGAUAACCAUUCUGCAGUCUUAAAGGGAAACUCCAGUGCCAGGAAAAAAAUCAGUUUUCCUGGCACUGCAGGUCCCCUCUCCCUCCCACCUCCCAAUCCCCAGUUGCUGAAGGGGUGAAAACCACUUCAGGUCACUUACUUGAGACCCCGCCGAUGUCCCUCGGCGGUGGUUACUGCUCGCUGCUGCUCCUCCCAGUGAUUACGUCAGCCGGUGGGCGAGACUGAUCCCGCCCGCUGGCUGAGGAAACCUAAUGCGCAUGCGCGGCAUUAGAGCUCCGUAACGGUACCCCCAGGUAUAAAAGGGGUUAACAGCCAUUUAGGAGAUAUUCCCUGUAGCGGAUGGCACUGGGCUGUCCUGCAAAUGUCUUGUGAAUAAAUGCAUUCGUGUGAUCUGCUAGUUUUAUAUGUGUGUAAAAGCAUUGUAUUCCUCUGAUUGUUCGGUAGAAUCAUUCGAAUAAACUAAGGGAAUGAAACUACCGAACAAUCAGACCUCCCCUGUGUUAAGUAUGUCCUCAAUUACCCGUUGCAACAUUGUUGCGAACGGGUAAUUGACAAGUUAAGUAGCCAUCCUUUGUUCUCGGGUGUGGCCAAUUUGACAAAUACGUGGCGGCGGCCAUUUUAAAACUCCCGAACAGCUGUGUUUUGCCGUCGAGUGUCUGGAACUCAAAUCGGACACUCGACUAGGCGAACACCGCUGAAACCUCCACAAGCCCGGUCCGUUCGGUUCCAAACUACCGAACGGCCCCUCGUUCGGUAGAUAGAAAGAACCGAACGAGGGGAUUCAGGCGAACCCUCCCUAGCCUCUAUAGCUAGAGGCUUUUGUGCAGUUUGUUCCCUUAUUCCAGGACCGACCAUUCGCAUGGAACCGCAUUCGGCUAUUUCAGUCAGUGCGGUCGGUCAUUUUAUUCCCUCCAUAAAUUUCCCGGACCCCUGGUCUGAUCUGGGUGAUUUUUGGAUAUGUUGUUCACCCAGAUCAGGGCUAUCAGGGGAUGUAGGAUUUAAAGGGGUACCCCUACAUUUAGGGGUACAUCCAGAAACGGGGGGAAUUGCUAGACUGGAUAAGGGGAUUAUGAUGCUGGCUGAGGGGAGGAGAUGUGUGGGAGGUUACCAGGACAGGAUUGGC